rnacentral:misc_RNA from 1 species
AACCUUAUGGACCUGCGGGCGUAUACCUGCGGAAGGAUCAUUAAAGAGAAAACUGCCCUUUGGGUAGAUCUCCCACCCUUUGUUUACCUUACCUUUGUUGCUUUGGCAGGCCCGUCUUCUGACCACCGGCUUUUAGCUGGUCCGUGCCUGCCAGAGGACCCCCAACUCUUGAUUUCAAGUUGUCCGAGUCUUAUAUAAUAGUAAAAACUUUCAGCAACGGAUCUCAGAUCGGAAGAGCAC